UUGGAAUAUUCCAUAUACUUACGUGAUAAGGCAGAAGCAGUGUUUGAGGGAAUUGACUACAAUUUUAAAAGAUGUUUUCUUAUAGAAACCGCCACAGCCACCCCAGCCUUCAGCAACCACCACCCUUAUCAGUCAGCUGCUAUCAACAUCGAGGCAAGAUCCUUCACCAGAAAAAUGAAUGCAACUCACUAAAGGCUCAGAUAAUUGUUAGCCUAUUUUAGUAAUAAAAUAUUUUUAAUAAGGUA